rnacentral:rRNA from 1 species
GACGAACGCUGGCGGCGUGCCUAAUACAUGCAAGUUGAGCGCUGAAGGUUGGUACUUGUACCAACUGGAUGAGCAGCGAACGGGUGAGUAACGCGUGGGGAAUCUGCCUUUGAGCGGGGGACAACAUUUGGAAACGAAUGCUAAUACCGCAUAAAAACUUUAAACACAAGUUUUAAGUUUGAAAGAUGCAAUUGCAUCACUCAAAGAUGAUCCCGCGUUGUAUUAGCUAGUUGGUGAGGUAAAGGCUCACCAAGGCGAUGAUACAUAGCCGACCUGAGAGGGUGAUCGGCCACAUUGGGACUGAGACACGGCCCACACUCCUUCGGGAGGCAGCAGUAGGGAAUCUUCGGCGAUGGACGAAAGUCUGACCGAGCCACGCCGCGUGAGUGAAGAAGGUUUUCGGCUCGUAAAACUCUGUUGAUAGAGAAGACCGUUGGUGAGAGUGGAAAGCUCAUCAAGUGACGGUAACUACCCAGAAAGGCACGGCUAACUACGUG